ensembl:lncRNA novel transcript
AUACCCACCAUCGCAUUUCCAGGGAGAUGAGAGUGGAAAGACCCUGGGCGCUGGUAGGACUACACCCUGGGAUACCAGUGCAGAAGCCGUGUCCUGGUGCAGAAAGGAUUUUGGUAGGGAGCAGAGGAGGCAGAAGUCUGGGCUCUGGACCAGUUACCUGAAGGCAUUGCGAAGUUUCUCUCCCACUGGGUAUGUCCGGUCCUUCUUCUCAAACUCAUCGUCGAAGAGGG